rnacentral:rRNA from 1 species
AGGAAUAUUGGUCAAUGGACGCAAGUCUGAUCCAGCCAUGCCGCGUGAAGGAUGAAGGCCUCUGGGUUGUAAACUUCUUUUACCUGGAAAGAAACCUCNGUUUUCUAUAUAGAGUUGACCGUACUCAGANGAAUAACGCACCGGCUAUCUCCGUGCCAGCAGCCGCGGUAAUACGGAGGGUGCAAGCGUUAUCCGGAUUUACUGGGUAUAAAGGGUGUGUAGGCGGGUUUUUAAGUCAGUGGAGAUAUCUCCGGGCUCAACUGGGAAACUGCCAUUGAUACAUAUUAGUCUUGAAUGCCGUUGAGGGUAGGCGGAAUAAGUCAGUAGCGGAGAAAUGCAUAGAUAUGACUUAGAACACCAAUUGCGUAAGGCGAGCUUGCUAAACNAAUAUUGACGCUGAGGCACGAAAGCGAGGGGAUCACAACAGGAUUAGAUCCCCUGGUAGUCCACGCCAUAAACGAUGAUUACUCGAC